rnacentral:rRNA from 1 species
GACGAACGCUGGCGGCGUGCCUAAUACAUGCAAGUAGAACGCUGAAGGAGGAGCUUGCUUCUCCGGAUGAGUUGCGAACGGGUGAGUAACGCGUAGGUAACCUGCCUGGUAGCGGGGGAUAACUAUUGGAAACGAUAGCUAAUACCGCAUAAGAGUAGAUGUUGCAUGACAUUUGCUUAAAAGGUGCAAUUGCAUCACUACCAGAUGGACCUGCGUUGUAUUAGCUAGUUGGUGAGGUAACGGCUCACCAAGGCGACGAUACAUAGCCGACCUGAGAGGGCGAUCGGCCACACUGGGACUGAGACACGGCACAGACUCCUACGGGAGGCAGCAGUAGGGAAUCUUCGGCAAUGGACGGAAGUCUGACCGAGCAACGCCGCGUGAGUGAAGAAGGUUUUCGGAUCGUAAAGCUCUGUUGUAAGAGAAGAACGAGUGUGAGAGUGGAAAGUUCACACUGUGACGGUAUCUUACCAGAAAGGGACGGCUAACUACGUG